rfam:Biomphalaria glabrata isolate BB02 unplaced genomic scaffold LGTN_random_Scaffold6, whole genome shotgun sequence.
GUCGCAGUGGCUGAUUGGUAAAGCACUUGGCUUCUGAACUGGGGUCCCGGGUUUGAAUCCUGGUGAAGACU